rnacentral:rRNA from 1 species
AACGAACGCUGGCGGCAUGCCUAACACAUGCAAGUCGAACGAGACCUUCGGGUCUAGUGGCGCACGGGUGCGUAACGCGUGGGAACCUGCCUUUAGGUUCGGAAUAACUCAGAGAAAUUUGAGCUAAUACCGGAUGAUGUCUUCGGACCAAAGAUUUAUAGCCUUUAGAUGGGCCCGCGUUGGAUUAGCUAGUUGGUGGGGUAAAGGCCUACCAAGGCGACGAUCCAUAGCUGGUCUGAGAGGAUGAUCAGCCACACUGGGACUGAGACACGGCCCAGACUCCUACGGGAGGCAGCAGUGGGGAAUAUUGGACAAUGGGCGAAAGCCUGAUCCAGCAAUGCCGCGUGAGUGAUGAAGGCCUUAGGGUUGUAAAGCUCUUUUACCCGAGAUGAUAAUGACAGUAUCGGGAGAAUAAGCUCCGGCUAACUCCGUG